GUCUGGUGUAUUGGGAUCUUCUUUAGUGCGUUGUUCUCUAACAGUUUCAUUUAGCAGGAAAUGCAUUUUAUGUGGAUCAGUCAAGACAUGUUUCUGGCUUAACUGUUUUAAGUUUUCAUCUUUAGACUCUGAGAGCAGUAGUUUUCUUUUGAAUCUACAAGUUGUAAUGAAACGUGCUUAGUACAAUUAAGUUCUCCAGAGAGCAUUUUAUGCUGCACUAGAUACAAUAUUUAAGUGUUCUAUACAUCUCUCUCUAAGGUAUAUUGCUACAAUGUCUAAGCCAGAAUUUUUACUAGCUCUUCCUAGUUUUUUCUAUCUGUGCCAAAAUAUUUUGUUGUCAUUUGUGUAGUUUUCUUGCACUGUUUGCUUUUUCUGAAGGCCUAAAAACAGCAUAAUAAUAAGGAAUGACUGUCAGAUAAAAAAGUGUACACGGAGAUAUCAUUGACCAAGGAAAACUGGACAGAAAAAAAGAAACUGACUGCCCUUACUGCAUUUUGCCUUGAUUUCUUCACCAGAAAAAUUUCAAUUUUUUCUCACCCUUCAUUUUGGAGGAUUAUCUCAAUUAUUUAAAGUUAUACAUUACUUUAGGGUGAUAUGUCUAAAGAAGACUGCAAAAGAUGAAGUUUUGUUACUUAGCCAUCAGCCAGCAUUUAUUUGUGGUCAUCUCAUGGUAACAUGUGAUGUUCUGCCAAAUGUGUUGUUCUUAUGAAAGCAAGAUUUAAUUCUUAAAUAAAUCUUACUAGUCUGUUAAGAACAUCCUAGUUGAUGUCUGCCUGUUCAAUGGUUAGUAACACAAUGGAUGAGUAGUGUGGCUCACAAAAGUUAGAAGAUCAGACAGUUAUUGCAGUGAUGUGAUGUUGAUAAAUGAAUGAAUAAGUAUGAUGAAACAAACACAAACACACUCACAAUGGAAGAGACACAGGUAAUAGAAGAAAGAGGUGAAAGAG